rnacentral:rRNA from 1 species
CCUACGGGGUGCAGCAGUGGGGAAUAUUGCACAAUGGGGGAAACCCUGAUGCAGCGACGCCGCGUGAGUGAAGAAGUAUUUCGGUAUGUAAAGCUCUAUCAGCAGGGAAGAAAAUGACGGUACCUGAUUAAGAAGCACCGGCUAACUACGUGCCAGCAGCCGCGGUCAUACGUAGGGGGCAAGCGUUAUCCGGAUUUACUGGGUGUAAAGGGGUCGUAGAGGGGAGCAAAAGUCUGGAGUGAAAUGCCGGGGCUUAAACCCGGAACUGCUUUGGAAACUGUGCAGCUAGAGAGCAGGAGAGGUAAGUGGAAUUUCUAGUGUAGGAGUGAAAUGCGUAGAUAUUAGGAGGAACACCAGUAGCGAAGGCAGGUUACUGGACUGUAACUGACGUUGAGGCUCGAAAGCGUGGGGAGCAAACAGGAUUAGAUACCCGGGUAGUC